AUUCAUCAUCCCCUUGCCUUCUCCUUUUAGUUUUCUCCCUUUCUAAAAAAUUCUGAUUCUCCGAUUCUAAUCUGAGCUUUGCUAAUGUUCGAUUGAUUGUUUCCCGAUUACCUCCAACACAUUCUCUGCUUCUAUCGCUUCCCGCCCAAAGCGCCAUAAAUAAUCGAGAACCCUAAUUCCAAUUUUACAGAUAAUGCAGAGGCGGAGUCGAAGAAAUCGAAGAGAGCUCCAGUGGAAUUAGUCAAGUAUCGUGGUCUUUCCUUACUACUCCAAAGUCCAUCGGCCAUGAGAUGAGUAAUACUAUAAUGUAUCUGCAAUGGUCUUUAUAUCUAACUCUGCAAUUCCAGUGUAUCUCUAUGAUUUAAUAAAGUGUUAUAUGCUUUUGCUCGUUUGGCUUGUUUUUAGCUAGGAUGUAACAUCGUAUAUGGAAUUUCCAGGAUGCUAUAAUGAGAUAGGUGAAUGAACAAACAAAUUUAGUUGUGUGGGAACACCGUGCAUCACUAGCUAUCUCCAAUCUCUUUCUUGAUGAGCUUCCUUUGUUGCAAACAAGAGGUGGUAUACUUCUUUGUGGCCCUCCAGGAGUGGGGAAGACAUUAUUAGCAAAAGCUGUUGCUGGUGAGGCAGGUGUAAACUUCUUCUCCAUAUCUGCAUCUCAGUUUGUCGAAAUAUAUGUGGGAGUUGCGCUUCUCGCGUACGAGCACUCUAUCAAGAAGCAAGGGACAAUGUGAGAUUUCAAUUCCUUUUAUCUGAUUGUGGUGAUUGUUGGGCCUCUUUGGAUCAAGCAAAUAGGUUUACUACUCAGAACGUGGAAUGCUUUUGAUACUCGAUUCCUAAAUUCUAAUAUUUUGUUAUGAUUCCACCUUUUAGUUAGCUUUUGGGAGGAGUUCCAUUCUUGAGUGCCUUAUGAUUUCUUAUAGGUUUGACCGGAGACCGUACAUAUUUACUCUCGUUGCUCAUUAAUUCUAAUAGUUGCUCCUUUUUGUCCAUGAGAUUUUGACUGCAUUUGUUCUUCAAAGACCAUGCAUUGUUGUUUUCUUACUUUCACAGAGCUUAUAUUUGUGGAAGUGAUGUGAUGUGCGUGAGUCAAGCAUUUGCAGGCUCCAUCUGUUGUUUUCAUCGAUGAACUGGAUGUUGAUGGAAGUGCACAUGGUUUGAUUAAGUGGUCUGGUGGGCAAGAACGUGAUGCUACUUUAAAUCCGGUCUCUUGCACAUAUUUGAUUGCUUAUAAUUUUGAUGUGACACAAUAAUGGUCUGAUUCGACUGUAAUAUAAAAUACCUUAUCGAUCCUCUAGCUUCUUGUGUGCCUGGAUGGGUUCGAAGGCAGAGGAGAAGUCAUUACCAUUGCUUCUACAAACAGGCCAGACAUUUUGGAUGCAUCACUUGUGAGACCAGGGAGGUUCAACCGGAAAAUACACAUACCCAAGCCUGGACUGGUUGGCCGUGUUGAAAUUCUGAAGAUGCGGUUUGUUGCCUUCCAUCAGCAGUACUUUCAAUUGGUCUACGCGGUCUCAUUGUUUGGUUUCAGGUUCAUGCUAGGAAGAAAGCAAUGGCCCCUGACGUGGACUAUUUGGCUGCUGCGACUAUGACUGAUGGAGUGGUUGGUGCUGAGCUGUCCAACAUUAUCGAGGUUGCUGCUAUCAACAUGAUGCGCGAUGAAAGAACAGAGAUUACUAAUGAUGAUUUGUUACAAGAGCUGCACAAAUAGAAGAAAGAGGAAUGCUUGAUAAUAGAGAGAACAGCCCCGAGAUCUGGAAGCAAGUAGCUAUAAAUGAAGCUGAAAUGGCCAUAGUUGCUGUCAAUUUCCCGGAUCAUAGAUAUAUCUAUCGAGUUUUUAUGUUCUGAUCUUUCAGUUUCAGUUGCUUCCUUAUGCUCCCUUCUAUUUUAACCUAGAAGCAUUUUAUUAGAGUUCUGUUAAUCAAAUGGGAAAUUCUAAAGUAUUGUCGUUUAUUUUUCGUGUCAGGUGACGAUUUCUCGAAGAGCUGGAAUGGAUUUAGGAUACGUCCGCCCCCUCUGUAUUCCUGGAGAUCUUCAAUUAAAGAUUUUUAAAACAACUUUAAAAUUGGUUCUUUUGUUUUAGGCAAAAAACAUGUUUCUUCACCCCGGGACUCCCAGCAGCCGGGAACAGAGGUAUGGGCUUAUAUUCUCAAUUGGUAACGCACAAUUUUUCUGAUUGAAGGCCGAGCUUCGUCCCUAGAAUGCAAACGAGCAGCUCCGUCCUGAGUUUGUUCUUGAAUCCGGCCAACACUUUAUUUUCUCAAUUGUGUUUUAGCAGUUCCUCUUUUGGUUUGAAUCAGUACUCUAAUUGGGCCAUACAUAAUAUUUUAUUGGUAGGUAUGAUAAUCUUUGGUUAAUUAUGUAA